UAAUACGGAGGGUCCAAGCGUUAUCCGGAAUCAUUGGGUUUAAAGGGUCCGUAGGCGGGCUAAUAAGUCAGAGGUGAAAGUUUGCAGCUCAACUGUAAAAUUGCCUUUGAUACUGUUAGUCUUGAGUUAUAGUGAAGUGGUUAGAAUAAGUGGUGUAGCGGUGAAAUGCAUAGAUAUCACUUAGAAUACCGAUUGCGAAGGCAGAUCACUAACUGUAUACUGACGCUGAGGGACGAAAGCAUGGGUAGCGAACGGGAUUAGAUACCCCGGUAGUCCAUGCUGUAAACGAUGGAUACUAGCUGUUGGCUUCGGUCAGUGGCUAAGCGAAAGUGAUAAGUAUCCCACCUGGGGAGUACGUUCGCAAGAAUGAAACUCAAAGGAAUUGACGGGGGCCCGCACAAGCGGUGGAGCAUGUGGUUUAAUUCGAUGAUACGCGAGGAACCUUACCAGGGCUUAAAUGGGAGAUGACAGGGGCAGAGACGCCCUUUUCUUCGGACAUCUUUCAAGGUGCUGCAUGGUUGUCGUCAGCUCGUGCCGUGAGGUGUCAGGUUAAGUCCUAUAACGAGCGCAACCCCUACCGUUAGUUGCCAGCGAUUCAAGUCGGGGACUCUAACGGGACUGCCGGUGCAAACCGUGAGGAAGGUGGGGACGACGUCAAAUCAUCACGGCCCUUACGUCCUGGGCUACACACGUGCUACAAUGGUCGGUACAGAGGGAAGCUACCCCGCAAGGGGAUGCGGAUCUAUAAAACCGAUCUCAGUUCGGAUCGGGGUCUGCAACUCGACCCCGUGAAGCUGGAAUCGCUAGUAAUCGGAUAUCAGCCAUGAUCCGGUGAAUACGUUCCCGGGCCUUGUACACACCGCCCGUCAAGCCAUGGAAGCUGGGGGUGCCUGAAGUCCGUCACCGCAAGGAGCGGCCUAGGGCAAGACUAGUAACUAGGGCUAAGUCGUAACAAGGUAGCCG
rnacentral:rRNA from 1 species